rnacentral:rRNA from 1 species
GACGAACGCUGGCGGCGUGCUUAACACAUGCAAGUCGAACGGAAAGGCCCUGCUUUUGUGGGGUGCUCGGGUGACGGGCGGGUGAGUAACACGUGAAUAACCCGCCCUUGUCGGUGGAAUAACUGCAAAAAGCUGGGACUAAUGCCGGGUAGUUGCUCCUGCUGCAUGGGGGGGGUAGGAUUUUUUCGGCGGUUGGGGGUGGACUCGCGGCUUAUCAGCUUGUUGGUGGGGUAGUGGCUCACCAAGGCUUUGACGGGUAGCCGGCCUGAGAGGGUGACCGGCCACAUUGGGACUGAGAUACGGCCCAGACUCCUACGGGAGGCAGCAGUGGGGAAUAUUGCACAAUGGGCGGAAGCCUGAUGCAGCAACGCCGCGUGCGGGAUGACGGCCUUCGGGUUGUAAACCGCUUUCGCCUGUGACGAAGCGUGAGUGACGGUAAUGGGUAAAGAAGCACCGGCUAACUACGUG